rfam:Asian citrus Psyllid, Diaphorina citri - Florida Strain, whole genome shotgun sequence.
GCCUAGUUAGCUUAGUAGGUAGUGCGUCUGCCUUGUAAGCGCUAGGCCGCGGGUUCGAUUCCCGCCCGGGGCG